CGCCGAUAUCCCACCUUAGAAUAAACAGAACGAGAGGCUUCAAAGUCCAGUUCUUGACGAUUUCUUACUAACGACAUAUUGUUUAUUCUCAUUCUUAUUCUCCUUCUCUCUGGUUCUGGGAAAGCAGAACUGCGAGAAUCACAGCCGCAGCCACAGGGUCUACCUAGGCCCAGGUGGUUCUAAUUUUCACUAAGUUCGGUUCAUGGAGGUUGCAAAUACAAAUAAUCAAUGCGCAGGUUCUGCAGCCGUAUCAGAAAAUCAAUUUACCGGCUCUGAUACAGCAAAUGAUGUGAAAAAGACAUCUAGAGAGCAGAGAGAAGCUCUGCCAGGGGAGCCUAAAUGUGUUGUAUGCGGCCGCUAUGGGGAGUAUAUAUGUGAUGAGACUGAUGAUGAUAUUUGUAGCUUGGAAUGCAAACAAACUCUUUUAUGGAGGGUUGCUAAUUCCCAGGUUUCAGUUGCUUCUCCACCUCCUACAAGGUUUGCUACAACUGAUGAGUGUUUUUAUGUUAGAGAAUCUGAUGAUAAAUCAGGACCCUUAUCUUUAACUAAUGAUCAAACUGAGUUACUGAGAAGGAAGCUUGAAAUCAAUGUGAAGGGGGAAUCGGUUCCAGAUCCCAUUUUGUCAUUCUCUUCUUGUAAUCUUCCUAAGAAGCUUCUGCAGAACAUAGAAGCUGCAGGAUAUGGUAUGCCUACACCUGUCCAGAUGCAAGCAAUCCCAAUCGCUUUGAGCAGCAAAAGCCUGCUUGCUUCAGCUGAUACAGGCUCAGGGAAAACUGCUUCUUAUCUGGUCCCUGUUGUUUCUUGCUGUGCAAGUUUUCGCCUUCAGCACUCGCCUGAGUAUAGAAAGCCACUAGCAAUGGUUUUAACUCCAACAAGAGAGCUCUCCAUGCAGGUUGAGGAUCAAGCUAAGUUACUUGGUAAGGGUUUGCCUUUCAAGACUGCACUUGUGGUUGGUGGUGAUGCUAUGGCUGGACAAAUCUACCGUAUUCAGCAAGGAGUGGAAUUGAUUGUAGGGACUCCGGGCAGGCUCAUUGAUCUUUUAACAAAGCAUGAUAUUGAACUAGAUGAAGUAAUGAUAUUUGUUCUAGAUGAGGUGGACUGUAUGCUUCAAAGGGGCUUCCGAGAUCAGGUUAUGCAGAUUUUUAGAGCUCUUUCUCAACCUCAGGUCUUGAUGUAUUCUGCAACAAUCACACAAGAAGUGAAGAUGGCAAGCUCUAUGGCAAAAGAUAUGGUUGCUGUCUCGCCUAACAGCCAGUAAGGCUAUGAAACAGCUGGCAAUCUGGGUUGCUUUGAAGCAAAAGAAGCGAAAGCUUUUUGACAUUUUGAUGAGAAAACAGCAUUUUUUGCCACCAGUGGUUGUAUAUAUGGAUUCAAGACUUGGGGCAGAUCUCCUAUCUAAUGCGAUCAUGGUUACUGCAGGGUUGAAGGCUCUAUCUAUCCAUGGGCCAAAGUCCAUGAAGGAGAGAAGAGAGAUCAUGAGGUCGCUUUUGGUGGGGGAGGUUUCUGUGAUUGUGGCAACUGGGGUUUUGGGUUGGGGAGUUGAUCUGUUGGGUGUGAGACGGCUAUUAGUGUUUGAUAUGCCCAAUUCCGUUAAGAAGUAUGUCCAUCAAAUAGGAAGGGCUGACUUGAAUUGGAGAGGAAGGUUCAGCAACUGUUUUUGUUAAUAAGGAGAACAAAAAUUUAUUUCCACAGUGCAUUGAGGUUUAAAAUCUUCUGGAGCUGUGAUAUCUUGUGAACUUGCAAAUUCAUGGCUGUUAUGUGCGGUCCUUCCCUGCCAGCAACGGUCAGAGAAAGAGAAAAUAUGGUUUCUGAGCAAUCAGAAGUUUUGUUUGUUUUUUGGCGUUAUUUUAUUACUAUGAAGGUGCAAAGUCAAAUCUAUUGUUAUUUCUUGAAUUCUUGGACUAUGCUGGGUGCAUCUAGCAAGAGAACUUACCACCUUGUUGGCAAUUUGAUGUCUACUUUGUGGAGCAAGAAACCUUUUUCGUUGAGUGCAAAAAGAUGUUUGGUGGAUAAGUAGCCAGCUUGGAUAGCAUGUAGUUACGCAACAUGAUAGGGAGCAUGUUUUAAAAUUGUUUUGAUUUUCAAACUGAUGUUCUUCUCCUGUUGGUUAACUUUGUUGAUUCAAAGAGGACAAUCCAGAGUUCAAGGAGAAGACUCUGCUAGUAUUUAGGAUGAACUCUUCUGUUGAGGGGAGACUUUGGAAGCGCUGUCCUAUUGACUUGAGCAUUGAUGAUUUUUGGUGUAAGAGCGAAGGCUCUGGGAAUGCUCGUGAAUAUAAUCAAAGCACUGGAAGUAUUCCAUUUUACAGGAACAUUUACGAAGAAAUGUUGGGUAACAAUACGGCAUCACAUAGGAAAGGGUGAAAGUUGAAGUGGGCCAAUUGCAGAUGGCGCAUGAUGUGACGCGUCCGAAAGCCGAAAUUUAGACGCAUGGAUCCCAUAUGAAAAAGACAAAGGAAGAGCAAUGCGUGUGGACCCACAGAAAGAGAAAAAAACAAUAUUUCAGUUGGUGGAAGGAAGACAGAAGACACCACCGCACGCGUCCUGACUCAGCCAUUAAACCUCCCUACCGUCUGCUCUUCCCUUCCCAUCGGCCAAUCCCCUCCUCACCUCUCAACCUCUCUCUCUCCUCUCUCUCUUUAGUUUAUUUUUUUUCUCAUUUUAAUAUCUGACGCCAUAAAUAUACUUUCUUUUUCGCUUUUUCGCUUUUUUUGGUACGCUACGAAACGGUCUUACUAAUUGAAUCUUUCUUUUCUUCGUAUUCUUCUUCUUUUCAUCUCCCACCAAAAUCAACAACAACAACAAACCUUCUUAUUUUCCUUUCAGCCCUUCACUUCUUCCAUUGCCCUUUCCCAGUUCGGCAGCAGGAGGUCAUCUUGGUAGAUUGUAACUUAAUAGUAGAUGCAGGGCUACGCUCAUGCUGCCAGAGAGGGGGCACAUAGUGUCGGUGAAAGUUCUAGCUCCACAUCAUGGAGUAGUCAGCAGGAUACUGAGGAUGACCGAAUGAUUGCUCUUGUACUAUCAGAAGAAUUCGCCAACCUAGAUGGUGCAGUUGCUAGACGCCUCACUAACCUGGCACCUAUUCCUCAUGUUCCACGGAUAAAUACAUAUAUACCCAACAUAAGUGAUGCCAGUAUGGAUCACCAAAGGCUUAUUCAGAGGUUAAAUGUUUAUGGUUUAUAUGAGGUGAAGGUUUCUGGAGAUGGAAAUUGUCAGGUAUGUUCAAAAUGUUAACUCUGUGUCUCUCACUGCCUGAUGGAAGUAUGAUCUCCUGAGUUUCUCUCUCUUUCUCUCAAAGCAGUUUCGUGCACUUUCAGACCAGAUGUACAAGUCACCUGAACACCACAAACAUAUUCGAAAAGAGGUUGUGAAACAGGUGACAUUCUUUGAAGUGCCCGAAUUUUUCUGAAAGUUGAAUUUAGUUCAGCAAAUUUGGAAUUACAUCGAAUUUGGGCUCUUAAUCCCCACCUUCAAGAUAAUAUUAUGAUCACUAGUGAUUAAUUAACCAAGCUCAUCUAGCGGUGUAUAUUGUAUGAUAAAUAAAUUCUCUCUGAAGAUUUGAAGGAAGUGUGGAAAGCACACUAGAAACAUGCUCUUUACCAACAUAUGAUUACCAUAUUUUCAGUUUCAGCAACUCUUUCUACGUGCAUGUCCACUGUUGCUGCUAAAAAACAUUGUUGCCAUGUUUAGUGUCAUAACCAUGCCAACAAGUCGUAAGGACAGUAACCACUAUGACAAUCACCACCAGUUGCGUCAGGUUGCUAAUCAUACAACCAGGUAUAGCAACCUAUGAUUUCCAUUAACAACCACUGUGGUGAUUUCUUGAACUUAAUGCAGUAGCCUGCCACUUAAUUGUAAUAUCAUACCUAAUAUCUUAUGAUUACCUUUUAUAACUAUUCAUUAGACUAGCACCAUACCACAUUGCUGUGACUCAUUAAAAUUCUUACAAACUCUUAUUAUCUCCCUGUUACAUCCAUUACUUCUGCAACUGACAGCAUGGCAUCCUUAAGACCUUAGCACGGUACCUUCAGCAACCCUUGCAGCCACUGCAUUCCAUUGGCCAUCUCUAUCUUAUGUGACAGCCUCUAUCUGUUAAAAUACUUGUUAAUUGCCACUGCUUUGUUACUAUUGUGCUUGCUUUAUAUGAUUACCAGAGCAACCUUCUCCAUUGUCACUUUCAGGUCUCCAACUCCAAUUUAUUUUUAAUUCUUGAUUUUUUUUAACAAGAAUAUAGCAUUCGUUCUUCUGGUGGAAAAAAUGCCACAACUAUUUCCAGAUUCAAGAUCUGCAAUUCAAUGGAAAAUGCAAUAUUUUCAAAUAGGAAGUGCUAUUUAUAGGCUUAUAAAUUUCAGUGAGAAGUGGAAGAGAUGCCUUUUUUUAUGUCUAAAAAAAAAGAGUGGUUAAUAUUGUUUUAUUAACCCUGUAUUACUAUUUUCUUUUCUAGCUGAAAGAUUACCGAUCAUUGUAUGAAGGCUAUGUCCCGAUGAAGUACAAGCGUUAUUACAAGAAAAUGGCAAAAUCUGGUGAAUGGGGGGACCAUGUUACAUUACAAGCAGCAGCCGAUAAGUUUGCAGCAAAGAUCUGCCUGUUGACAUCUUUUAGAGAUAUUUGUUUUAUUGAAAUUAUGCCACAAUACCAGUCACCGAAACGUGAAUUGUGGUUAAGUUUCUGGUCUGGGGUACACUACAACUCACUAUAUGAAAUCAGAGGUUUGUUUCAAUUUCUUAAAAAAGAAACCAUACGCGUUAGUUUGAAAUGAGAAUAACCAUUUGUAAUAUUCUAUUAUGUUGCUUGGUUUCCUUUAAGAUGCGCCGAUCCCACAUAAGCCAAGGAAGAAACACUGGUUGUUUUAGAGGAAGGAUGCAGAUUGCUGAUGUUGAUACAAAAAUUGGGAUUUUUUUUUUUUUAAAAUUUAGUUGUGUAUAUUUUUUUGCGUAUAUCAUAUGUUGUGUUCUAUUUAAUUCAUUAUUAUUACUCAUUCUAUUUCAUAAAUAUAGACUUACUUCUAUUUUCUCAUAGUUCAAGAAAAGUUAAUAUAGUUGCA
rnacentral:misc_RNA from 1 species